UCACCAUCUAAACUCUCGGUAUACUUUGAUAACGUAUCAUUUGACAAGGAAGCACUCAUUUCGACAUAUUUCAGCGAUAACGCAGGCAAUGUAUGAUGAAAACACGAUGUAGCGAACUUACACUCGUGAUACAUGUACUACUAGUACUAAACAUUGUGUGAGUACGUACGCCGCUGCUGUCCAAAAUGGUGGCGUGGUUACAGCUCACACGUCACUGCACGUUCCCUAUAUUUAUAUAGGCUGGUUAGCAGUCCCCGCAUUACCUUAUACACUGCUGGAACGGGAAUGAGUCUGUUGUAGUCACUGAUUGAAUUCCCUGAUAGCCUAUGCUCAAAACAUAUAAUGGGUACCAUGCAAAACUGACAGACACCCAUUUCAGACAGGCGUUCUAGUGCCAAACCAAAUUAAAAGCAAAUUUUGAAUUCAGUACGGCAAAAGUUCAACGUCUGAAACAAUUAGGAGCGACCAGGUGUGCUAACAGGCAAAAGAUCGGCACUUGAAGGUGUUUGCAACGACACUAGAGUGACUUAGUUUCAGAGUCACUCUUUUCAUGAGCCGAACCAAAUGCAAAUGUAUGUAAAUGUAUGCAAAUGUUGAAAAUAAGUAAUGACCCUUUGACACAUCCCACAAAAACAAGGAAUUUUGUUGUUUACUCGUAUAGUUUGCGAGAAAUGUUCAACUACCAGCCUAUGCUUAGAGGAACAACAUGCACAUUUACGUCACCUAUAGCCUAGAUUUCCCCUACUCCUGGGCGCACAAAGAAACCUUAGAUUUCUGAAAGAAUCUGUAGUUAUUGAUAAGUUAAUUGUUCUGGAAACGGUUCGAUGGUUUGCCCAGUCUUUCUUUCAUCUCUGGGGACCUCUUGCGUUAAGAGAGUGAGACAGAGCACGCGGCCAAGGCCUUCGUGGUCAGCAUUUCUUCAAACGACGUCUCUCAGCAUUGCCUGAUACUCCGACAGUGGACGCACCAUUCUUUCAUUGCCUCCAAACAGAUAGGUGCCAGGCUCUGGUCCAGUGACAGCAUGAGUUGUGAUGGCUCUAUUGGAGGAUGGGGGUAGAGGUGUGCCAACAGCAGGAGGCUCGAGCGUACUGAUGGUGGUAGGGGCCGUUGUGCUGCUAAUUCGAGGCACAGGUGUGACAGAACAUUCUGAGCAAUAGUAAAUUUUCCACUUCGUUGAUUUCGUCCUUCUUUGUUAAAAAUCAUUGUCCAACUGUUACCUGUGGCCAUUACACGAGUGGCUUCUUGUGAUUACUGGAUCAAUGGUGGAGCUACAAAGCCACUGGCCAUGUCGGGUGCACUUGUGACCAUGUACUAUGCGUCCAUUUUAACAUAUAAAUCGUGGAAAUUGUUUUACAUUUGAACUUGUGAAAAAUUUCUUGAGCUCGGCGAUAUUCUUCUUCAGAUAUAUCUUCUUGCAUAAAAAGCUUCUCAUGGUGGUAAACAGGUUUCUUUAAAUCUUUCAAAAGAGUCCAUGUAUUCGUAUGGGUAAACACCUUUUUGUAAGUAAUCGGUAUUUUGAGGAAACUGCUUUUGAAGUAAUUUAAAUGCUUCUGAUGGACAGGCCUUCACCGGCCAAGAAAUUAAAUGAAUUUUAAAACUUGAGUCGACGUACAGAAAAAGAAAUGUACUUUUCUGAAUUUUUGGGAAUGCAAUGCAGUUUUUCAUUUGUACUUGGAGAUAAGCCUUGCAUAAUUAAAUGCGCAUCGUAAUUUUCCAAAUUAUAUAAAAAGACAGGAAUUUCUGUUCUGUUUGUAAUAAUCUCAAUUAUAAGUUCCUCUGUAUUUGCCUAUAAUAUGACAAUGAUCUCAAACUUUUCUAAACGAAUGAAUGGGCUUUUGUUACACUAUGCAAAUAUAUUCUUGACAGCCAUUGUUUUGAUAUUUGAAAUUUCAACUUAUCCGUUUUUGUCUUUGGUUCAGUUGGUUUUGGGCAAUUACAUUCAUCUGACUUUGUGGGCCAAAUUGGCUUUUUGCAAAUCCAACAUGUAUUAUUUUCUUGGUGCUGUUUGUGUAAUUCAAAGUCCCAUUGGAUUAUUUUUGGGUUCUCAAAUAAUUUGUUUAUUGCCUGUUUAUCUAACAGUAAAGAUCUGACAAAUGAUUUUGCGGCAUUAACCCCUCUAUAUGUCUGCUGUUUUAUGCAAAUGCCGUCACUGCAAAUUAUAAAAUAGGCAUAACCUGAAGCAAUAUGUCGAUGCGUUCUAAUUGUAUUGCCUUCUUCUGGGGGGCAUAGGUUCUAAAAUGGAUUCAAAAUCGGCGUAAAUAACAAAUGGUGCUAAUUGUUUAUUUUAUAGUCUCUCAACCAGAAUUUUAAUAUAUUGCCAUCUUCUUCUGGUAGUACUAUAGUAAUUGGAACAUCUGGUCCGAGACAAUCUUCUUGAUAUUUGGCUAAUCUUAAGCUACUUGUAAAAUUAGAUUGGCAUUUAUGGCAUUCGUAAAUGGCAUGACCGUAACUACUCGCUAAAUUUGAAAUGAGUUUUGACCUGUUUUUAAUCAAGCAAUAAACAAAUAAUAACAGGCCUAUAUGUCUAUCUUUCAUAAUAUUUUUAGAUGGAUACAAAGUCAAAAAUGUGCCUUGCCUUCUGUCAUACCCAUAUAAAUUAAUAGACAAAUUGUUCUGCGCUUUGAUUUUUGGAAUUUGAUUCCUUGGUGUAGGAAAGUCUAUGCCUGUGAAAUCUAAUUCACUUUGGAUUGUAAGUUGUUGGUCUAUCGCGUACUAUUCUAUAACUUGGGUCCUUUUAAAUUUUACGUUUGACUUUGUCGAAAUACAAUCCUAGAGCUGCGCAUAUUGCCCAUCGUAUGUAUUCACAAUCUUCCUUUUUAUAUCUAUUGCGGCUUUCUUAUUUUCAAUGUAUUCGGGCAACUUGAUGUAAGUACCGCCUAGAGGAUCAUAUCGUAUCACGUUGAUAAAAAAAGCUAUAAUUUCAUCGAGUAUCCAACCAGAACCACUGUGGACAUAUUUAUCAAUUCUAUCUAAAAGCUUUUGUUUUUGUUCUUCCAACUUGUUAACAUCUGAUUCUAAAUGCACCGUUGUAAUGUUUGACCAAAAAGUAAAGACAGCUUUUUGUUCUGGCCGUUCCUUUUUAAAUUGGACUUUAAUCGCUGUUUGUAAUCUGUAAGUACCUAUUUCCUUGAAUUGUUUCAAUGCCAAUUUCUGGAUGUCUUUCUUAUGCAUAAUAAAAAAUUGAACUGCAUCGCCAUUAAAAAAUGUGGUAUUAAUUUCCAAUUUCGGAAGUUGCCUUUAUGUAUUUUAACGUUCUGUAUGUCUUAUUCUCGAAAUAAUUCUGAAAUAAUAACAGCUUUACUUGUGCGAUUAAAUCUUUUCUCAAGAUUCCCCCUGCCUACCCGUGGCAACUGGACCUAAAUUAAUGUCAUCUGCUAAUUGUCGUAACACGAUAAUAGAUUUGCGAGAUAAAUUUUGAAAUUGCUUUGAAUAAUAUCUCACUGCUUGUAUUAAUUCCUUGCGCUUGUAUAAGACCAAAGGGCGGCGCAGUUGAGGCAAUGUAAUAUUGUGAUUAGCGAUAUACUUCAAUACUGAUGAUUUAUUCCAUGAAUUAUAGCCAUAGAGAUUGUGUUUAUAAUGUAAUCUGAUAUUACGUAACAUGUUUUCAUUUGAUGGCAUUCUUAUUCAUAUAAAA
rnacentral:lncRNA from 1 species